CACAGCUUGCAAUGACAUUCACAGUAAUCAUCGGCGCGCUUGAAUAUUCUCCUGGAUAUUGUUCGCUUUGCAGUGUUAUUGAUCAGGGAACUGAGGCUCAUUUGCACUCUGCAUAUGCCGUUCUGCAUAACAAAAUCCCCUAAACGUCUAAAGAUGUAAAUGUAAUUGUGAAGAUAAUGUAUUUUUGCUAUCAAGCAUGCUGCACUGCGUGAACUGCACUGUGUCAUUAAACCAACACGUACUAACCCUUCGCAAACAAGAGCUAAACUUUCCCUCCUCCUGUUUCUCCUUCUCUUCUACGUGUCUUUUCAUGCAGCUUGCAGAUUGGGUCAUGUUUUUUCAGUUUUUUUUCUGCCAUACUUAAGCAAUAUGCAAAUAGAAACUCAGAGCCUCUCACAAAAUCCCAAUCAGUCCCUUUCUGACCCUUUUCCGUUUUUCCCUUCUUUUUUUUUUUUUAAAGGCAACCCGCCAUCACUCAUCUUCUCUCUCGUCCAAUGCCUUUUUAGCUUUGUCGCUCAGACCAUCUCUCUUUCUCUCGCUCCCUGUCCCUGCAUCCCUUUGCCUCCUGUCACCCCCCCAUCUCCCCUUCUUUCCAUCCACAAUCUAUCCUUUCCAAUCUUCCCUUUUCCCCCUCUCUCUAUCAUGUUUCCCCCCCUCACACACUCACACUCUCUUCCUCUACCAGUAGUCAUUCUACUUAUAGCCUCGCCAUAAAUCAAGCUGUCAUUCUCCGUCAUGCUUGCUGCAUCUCACUGGGGCUCAUGGCACAUGCACACACACACAUGCACGCACGAACACACACACAUAAAAGGGAUAGCAGCCCACACAUACACAAGCUCAAAUGCAAGAAUAUACAUAUAGACCAGUAUUAUGCAGAUAACACACAUGCGCUGCAAGUGUAUAGGCUAUACUGAUUACAAUAAAAAAAUACACACACACAAACACUUCCUUUUUUAAUGUGACACAAACAUACAGUUUUUGCACAAACUCCAGUGUCCAAAAAACAAGCUGAUAUGCAGGAUAUCAC
ensembl:lncRNA